rnacentral:rRNA from 1 species
AGGACGAACGCUGGCGGCGUGCUUAACACAUGCAAGUCGAGCGGAAAAGCCCUUCGGGGUACUCGAGCGGCGAACGGGUGAGUAACACGUGAGCAACCUGCCCCUGGCUCUGGGAUAGCCUUCGGAAACGGGGAUUAAUACCGGAUAUUCACUGCUUCCUGCAUGGGGGGUGGUGGAAAGUUUUCGGCUGGGGUGGGCUCGCGGCCUAUCAGCUUGGUUGGGGGGUGACGGCCCACCAAGGCGACGACGGGUAG